UAUUUAUUUGAGUAGAAAUUAAGCAUGAGAAACCCUAAAAGUAAGUUUCUCCCUUUGACAUCAUUCCACUCACCUUCACUGUCUCAUCCCGAGGCAAAACCCUAACCCUUAUACAUUCUCUGCCUCUCCCCCUCUAAAUCUUCUCCUCUAUUUCUAUAAAUCUCUCAAAUUAUAAUUCUCUAUCAACAUGCUAACCCUAGCAAGGUAGUUACUAGUUUCUCUUUUAUAUAUAUGUGUGUUUUGAACUUUGAUUUUGAGUUUCAUCUUCUCCAAUCUUCAAUAUCUCUGAAUCCUAUUCACUUUUUUACUAGUCUUGUUUUUUGAUUCUAGAUAAUAAUCUGCCACUUCGGCUAGGGCAAAAGCAGGAACUAGGGUUUUCUUUUUAUGUAUAAAUGAUGCAUGAAAGCCUUAUUUUUAUUUUUAUUUUAUAUUAUUUAUUGCAUAAUUGAGCUAUAUAGAGCUAGGCAAUGAAUUUUGAUGCAUGAUGCUGAUUUUCUGCAAUAUUCUCUAUUAUGAAGUAUCAUAGUGGAUGAAUGUAGAUAAAGAGAAUAUACAUAAUUAGCUGUAAAAGUGGGUUGAUAUCAAUCUGACUCAGUUCAUGGAACAGAAAAUUAAAAAAGAAUAAUGAUUUCAAGAUCCCACUUCAUCACUUCACUAUACAACCACCAACAAGACCACCACCUCCACCCACCAAGAAAAUUAAUCAAUUUUUUUUCGAAAUAUUAUAGACAUUAUUAUUGUGCUUUUUAAUUAAAAUUGCAAAAAAAGGGACCGUAUCUAGAAUUCUUUAUUCAAAGUACAGUCUUUAUAAUUACUUUUGCACAUUUGGUCGGUAAGUAAAUUAGUGGUUUGUGGUGCCAAUCCAAUCCAGUAUUAUCUGGUUUUCAAUAUAUAUAAUUUUUUAGAAUCUGAAACUUGUUCAUUUGUACUCCUUUAGGUUAAUAUUAUCUGGUUUUCAAUAUAUAUGAAUAUGUAUCUUUAUUAUUAGCAUAACUGGUGUUGUUGGAUUAUAGAAAGCGAUGUUGGUGAGGUUCAAUCCGAAGACGAAUUUACACAUUUUUGUUUGUAAAAGACGAUCUCAGAUUGAGCCGCGCCAAUAUCACUUUUCGUUUAUUAUUCCCUUUUUGCAUAUUCUUUAACUAUAACCGUGGCUACUAUUUCAUUGCCUCAGCUCUGUAAAGAAGACAAAAGUGGACAAGGAACUAAAGGGAUGGAUCGCAUCUCUUUACCAAGUCUUUGAUCCCUUAAUUGGUAGCAAUGGCUUCAAGUCCGGCUGUAUGGAUGAUCAGGGUAAUGUUCUAACCUUUACUUUUAUUGGUUUAUAAAGAUAAAUACAAAAUCCAUACUAUAAUUGAUUUUGACCAUACUUUUCCGUAUUUGCAGUUUGGUUAUCGAAUUUCUAAAAGUUAUAUAUUGACAAAAUACUAUAUUUUUAGUGAUUCAAACAAAGUUUUAAAUAAAAUUUGGCCAAUUUAUACUUAUCCAAAUUUCACUCUGAAAUUUCAAGUUUUUAAAAAUGGGGAAUAUGAUAUGAAAAAAAAAUGUGAGGUGUCUUUUGUUUAUAUAUCUAAUGUGUAGAUGAGAGGGAAUUGAAAUAUAAACCGGCAGACAUAUAGAUAUAAAUUGACCGAAUUUCAUAAGAAACAUGCCGAAGUCACUAGAAAUGUAUUACAGUAACCAAUUUAUAGCGUUUUAAAUUUAGAUAACCAAACUGUAAAUUAUGGAAAGUAUAAUAACUACCAAAAUCAAUUAUCCAGAUUCCUGAGUAGCUAGAAAGUUAUGGAGUAAAGAAAAUGCGCUUUGCUGGAUGCCAAUGAAGCUUCUAAAAUGAUAGAUAGAUAGAUUUCCAUUAUAUAUAUCAAUUGGUGUGUCGGCACAUUAUUGUUAAUUAAUUAUUUUUACUUUUCUUUUUAUUUCAUGCUUCUAAACAUCUUUUCAUUUUCUUUUCCUAAUUUCAUGGUUCUUGUUUUCUCUUCUUCAUCUGGCCCUUUUCAUCAAAUUGUAAACAUAUGAUUUAUGUUGUCAUAGUGUAUAAAUGAAAAUUGUAUUUUAUGAGCAUUCAAUUUGGCGUAAUGCCAGUUGAUGUGGUGAA